AGGUCAUUUUGGGGGCAAUUCCUUAUUAGACCUUUAUAACAUUCCCAAGCUUCAUAUAAUGAUUCCCCCAAUUGUUGUUCAAAGUUGGAGAUGGCCUUUUUGAGCUU